AUGCCUGUUAGACCGAAGUGUAAAUCAAUGGCUUAAAAGCGUCGGGACGGCAGACCACAGUGCUGGAACACCCGACGUUCUCGCAGUCUCGACUGGAACGAGGGGCACAGGGGGUUGGCCGGACUCUCCUCAGUCUUCACAAGUUCCGCGCUUGGCAUGGGGAGGACUUUAACGUGUAGUUUGCAAACAGUACGAAAGAAGGUUGCUGCCACACUGAAGCCAUCAGGAGGCUCCGUCAAAUGCCAGACCAAAUCAAAUGCUCGCCUUUCCCUGACGUUUCACAAAUCCACCUCGCUACAACAUAUGGGGCACUCCAAGCUGUGACUUCCUGCAAAAUGCGUUUCCACUCAUCCGUCCGUCUUGAGCAGAAAAACAUGAUGAAAGGGCAUGGAUGGAUGCAGGCACGAGUGGGAAACCUUGGAGAAUGAAAAGAUGGCAGGCACAUGAUGGCUCAAGGCAAACGCUUCUGUCAUCAAGGUCACAGUAAGCAGUAUGCACCUUUCAUAGAUCAACUCGAUGGAGUUGAAGAAUUCUGUGUUUAUGCAUGCGAUGGAAAAAAAAAUGAAGCAUCCCUGAAAAAAACGUUCAAGCUUAUUUCUAUUUUUCAUGUUCCAAACCCUGCAGCACGACACACUUUGCUGCGACCGUCCUCUUAAGGGAAAAUGUAAACCGGGCAGUAGAGCGGAGAAAGGGCAAGCAGUUUGACGAUAAAUAGAUACAAUAAAGAAAAAACUCACACCGGCAAAUAAUACAAUAUCAGAGAGUGAGAGGACUAAAGUCUACUUGCUCUCCGUCGAAUUAAAACAAAAGUUUAUGAGGUUAUAAUUAACGUAGAAUAGGUUUUACAACUGCA